CGUAGGGUGCAAGCGUUGUCCGGAAUUAUUGGGCGUAAAGAGCUCGUAGGCGGUUUGUUGUGUCGGCUGUGAAAUCCCGAGGCUCAACCUCGGGUCUGCAGUCGAUACGAGCAAACUAGAGUGUUGCAGGGGAGACUGGAAUUCCUGGUGUAGCGGUGAAAUGCGCAGAUAUCAGGAGGAACACCGGUGGCGAAGGCGGGUCUCUGGGCAACAACUGACGCUGAGGAGCGAAAGCGUGGGGAGCGAACAGGAUUAGAUACCCUGGUAGUCCACGCCGUAAACGUUGGGCGCUAGGUGUGGGGCUCAUUCCACGAGUUCCGUGCCGCAGCUAACGCAUUAAGCGCCCCGCCUGGGGAGUACGGCCGCAAGGCUA
rnacentral:rRNA from 1 species